AUUAAAACUUAAUAAAAAUACGUCUAUUAACUUGUUUUACUUUUUCAGGAUUAUAAAAAGUGCCUGGAUAGUUAUGAUGAAAAAAAAGAAGAACCAAAAUAUUACGAGGAAUUAUGUGAUAAAAGAUUGACGGAAAAUUGUAUAUUAAAAUAUAAAGAUUGCGAAAAUAAUGGCGUUAAUAUUACAAUGAAGGUAAU